CGGCGGACGGGUGAGUAACACGUGGGUAACCUACCUAUAAGACUGGGAUAACUUCGGGAAACCGGAGCUAAUACCGGAUAACAUUUAGAACCGCAUGGUUCUAAAGUGAAAGAUGGUUUUGCUAUCACUUAUAGAUGGACCCGCGCCGUAUUAGCUAGUUGGUAAGGUAACGGCUUACCAAGGCGACGAUACGUAGCCGACCUGAGAGGGUGAUCGGCCACACUGGAACUGAGACACGGUCCAGACUCCUACGGGAGGCAGCAGUAGGAGAAUCUUCCGCAAUGGGCGAAAGCCUGACGGAGCAACGCCGCGUGAGUGAUGAAGGGUUUCGGCUCGUAAAUACUUCUGUUAUUAGGGAAGAACAAAUGUGUAAGUAUACUGUGCAC
rnacentral:rRNA from 1 species